UACGUGAGGGUGCAAGCGUUGUCCGGAAUUAUUGGGCGUAAAGAGCUCGUAGGCGGUUUGUCGCGUCUGCUGUGAAAACUCGGGGCUUAACCCCGGGCCUGCAGUGGGUACGGGCAGGCUAGAGUGUGGUAGGGGAGACUGGAAUUCCUGGUGUAGCGGUGAAAUGCGUAGAUAUCUGGAGGAACACCGGUGGCGAAGGCGGCAUCCUGGACCGGUAUUGACGCUGAUGCGCGAAAGCCAGGGGAGCAAACGGG
rnacentral:rRNA from 1 species